rnacentral:rRNA from 1 species
CAGCCGUAAACAAUGUGCGUUAGGUGUGUCGGUAACCACGCGUUACUGAUGCGCCGAAGAGAAAUCGUGAAACGCACCACCUGGGAAGUACGGUCGCAAGGCUGAAACUUAAAGGAAUUGGCGGGGGAGCACCACAACAGGUGGAGCCUGCGGUUUAAUUGGAUUCAACGCCGGACAUCUCACCGGAUAAGACAGCUGAAUGAUUGUCAAUCUGAAGGUUUUACAUGACUAGCCGAGAGGAGGUGCAUGGCGUCAGUGACU